CCAGCAUCUGUACGCACAAUGGAUAUCCGAAGACCGAUGGUGUCAGCGAUAAAUUCAGCUGCUGAAGUGUAAGCUGGAUCAAGUUUUUCCUCAAUGCGUGCAUGGAUCGCGCACUUAUGGAGGUGUUUAUUGGGUCAGGAAGAACAUCAAAUUCUACAACAGUGAAGCUCAAGAAUAAUGCCUGCAUAGAGACGGAAACCUGCAGAAUUGUCUCGCUCCGCGGCAUGUGGAGCGAGUUGCGCAAGUGGCUUCAACAAGAUGAAACCAGCCUGAAUUUCAUCUGGAGAAGUGAAUGUUUUGUCGUCAAAACAUGAUUCAUGGCAUAGUUCCUAUCGAAGACAUGGAGCUUUGGAAGGCACACAUGGCUGGAGAUAGCUGAUCAUGGCUGAAACCUGGUGCUAAAGAAGCCGUCCUUACCGAUGAGUGUGCCGGGGGCAUCAGGCACGCUGUUCCCCGGUGAUCGGAAUUGAAGGAGCAUGAAGAAGGCCGAGAGGAAGACGACGGCACCGAGGAUCAACGCGACGACGCACUUAGCGCUGAGAGCCGCGCCCACUUGAGCGGUGCAUCGACGAACCGCGGCGCCGUUGCUGGUUGACGUCUCAGGGAGGCGUCCAGCCUGCUCAGCGUCACCGGCUUUCUUGCCCAUGGCGAGCGCAUCUGCCACAGGUCUCUCUGGCACUGAGGUUACUAGUCAGUGUUGGUAGAGAUCAUCAGAGCUGGA